rnacentral:rRNA from 1 species
UACGGAGGGGGCUAGCGUUGUUCGGAAUUACUGGGCGUAAAGCGCGCGUAGGCGGACCUGCAAGUCGGGUGUGAAAUCUCGGAGCUUAACUCCGAAACUGCAUUCGAUACUGCCGUGCUUGAGGACUGGAGAGGAGACUGGAAUUUACGGUGUAGCGGUGAAAUGCGUAGAUAUCGUAAGGAAGACCAGUGGCGAAGGCGGGUCUCUGGACAGUUCCUGACGCUGAGGCACGAAGGUCAGGGGAGCAAACGGG